rnacentral:lncRNA from 1 species
CGCUGCAGCUCUCUGUAUGUAGGGCUAUCAGCCAGCGGUACCUGAAAGCAGGCGCUGGCCUUGCUCUCUCUCUGCCACAGAAUGAUGCUCCAGGGAUAACAAAGGGAAAUACCCGGGAAUGUCAAGUCAAACAAAUUGUAGCUCUCCCUGCUGCCUUCUCUGACCUUGUUCUGAGAACAUGUAGCAUUGGAACAAAGGUGAAUAAGAAGAUGCCUGUUGCAGAAAGGUUUGGCAAAAAAAUGGAGCUGCACAAGUCAUAAAUCGGGGCCACUUGUUGGAGCCUUGAGAACAGAAAAGUACAUCAUGCAUUUAAAACAUGGUCUUGUGCCUGUGAAUCAGUAAAGGAUGUUUAUACAUGAGGAAUGUUCUAAUGCUGUCUGGAAACAGCUGCUAAUGCUGGAUCAGUAUCAGGUUAUUUCCUGGCCUCCCUUCUGUGACCUUUGACCGAGGCUGACCUUUAGCUGGAGAAUGUGACAUUUUGUUCUCCUCUAGCUGACAUGUGAUGCUCUCAUUAUUCAAAGGACUCUUGAAGGAAUGAAAAGGAGGAAGCAAAUGAAAAGGAGAAGGAACUGAUAAUAUAACAUUUCUAAGAAGCCCAUCAAUUCCAAAGUUUGGUCUUGAGGUAGAGUGGAGGUAAGUUAAAAAAGAGCUAUUAAAAAUCAAAGUAGUUUACAUUUUGUUCUUUUUUUUUGCAUGCAAUAUCAUUCACUGGAGUUUGUUUUUGAAAAACAG